rnacentral:rRNA from 1 species
GAUGAACGCUGGCGGCGUGCCUAAUACAUGCAAGUCGAGCGAACGGACGAGAAGCUUGCUUCUCUGAUGUUAGCGGCGGACGGGUGAGUAACACGUGGAUAACCUACCUAUAAGACUGGGAUAACUUCGGGAAACCGGAGCUAAUACCGGAUGAUCUUUUGAACCGCAUGGUUCAAAAGUGAAAGACGGUCUUGCUGUCACUUAUAGAUGCAUCCGCGCUGCAUUAGCUAGUUGGUAAGGUAACGGCUUACCAAGGCAACGAUGCGUAGCCGACCUGAGAGGGUGAUCGGCCACACUGGAACUGAGACACGGUCCAGACUCCUACGGGAGGCAGCAGUAGGGAAUCUUCCGCAAUGGGCGAAAGCCUGACGGAGCAACGCCGCGUGAGUGAUGAAGGUCUUCGGAUCGUAAAACUCUGUUAUUAGGGAAGAACAUAUGUGUAAGUAACUGUGCACAUCUUGACGGUACCUAAUCAGAAAGCCACGGCUAACUACGUG